CCCCUAGAUGUUCUGGGCCGCACGCGCGCUACACUGAACAGUUCAACAAGUCUUAACCUUGGCCGAUAGGUCUGGGUAAUCUUUGAACGCUGUUCGUGAUUGGGAUAGACCUUUGCAAUUAUGGGUCUUCAACGAGGAAUUCCUAGUAAACGCAAGUCAUCAGCUUGCAUUGAUUACGUCCCUGCCCUUUGUACACACCGCCCGUCGCACCUACCGAUUGAAUGGUCCGGUGAAAUCUCCGGAUUGGCGCGCACCUCGGUGCCGCCGAGAAGUUGGCUAAACCUUACCAUUUAGAGGAAGGUGAAGUCGUAACA
rnacentral:rRNA from 1 species